rnacentral:rRNA from 1 species
UACGUAGGAUGCAAGCGUUGUCCGGAAUUAUUGGGCGUAAAGAGCGCGCAGGCGGUUUUACAAGUCAGAUGUGAAAUAUCCGGGCUUAACCCGGAGGGGUCAUUUGAAACUGUGAGACUAGAGUACAGCAGAGGAUAGCGGAAUUCCCGGUGUAGUGGUGAAAUGCGUAGAUAUGCGGAGGAACACCGAUGGCGAAGGCAAUCCCCUGGGCCUGCACUGACGCUCAUGCACGAAAGCGUGGGGAGCAAACAGG